rnacentral:rRNA from 1 species
AUUGAACGCUGGCGGCAUGCUUUACACAUGCAAGUCGAACGGUAACAGGCCUUCGGGUGCUGACGAGUGGCGGACGGGUGAGUAAUGCAUCGGAACGUACCCAGAGGUGGGGGAUAACGCAGCGAAAGCUGUGCUAAUACCGCAUGUGAUCUGAGGAUGAAAGCGGGGGACCGAGCAGCAAUGUUUGGCCUCGCGCCUUUGGAGCGGCCGAUGUCGGAUUAGCUAGUUGGUGGGGUAAAGGCCUACCAAGGCGACGAUCCGUAGCUGGUCUGAGAGGACGACCAGCCACACUGGGACUGAGACACGGCCCAGACUCCUACGGGAGGCAGCAGUGGGGAAUUUUGGACAAUGGGCGCAAGCCUGAUCCAGCAAUGCCGCGUGCGGGAAGAAGGCCUUCGGGUUGUAAACCGCUUUUGGCAGGAACGAAACGGUGUCCGCUAAUACCGGGCGCUAAUGACGGUACCUGCAGAAUAAGCACCGGCUAACUACGU